UACGUAGGGUGCAAGCGUUGCUCGGAAUCACUGGGCGUAAAGGGUGCGUAGGCGGGUCUUAAGUCAGGGGUGAAAUCCUGGAGCUCAACUCCAGAACUGCCUUUGAUACUGAAGAUCUUGAGUUCGGGAGAGGUGAGUGGAACUGCGAGUGUAGAGGUGAAAUUCGUAGAUAUUCGCAAGAACACCAGUGGCGAAGGCGGCUCACUGGCCCGAUACUGACGCUGAGGCACGAAAGCGUGGGGAGCAAACAGGGA
rnacentral:rRNA from 1 species